rnacentral:misc_RNA from 1 species
UCUCCGUUGGUGAACCAGCGGAGGGAUCAUUAAAGAGUUGCAAAACUCCCACAAACCAUCGCGAACGUUACCCGACGUCGUUGCUUCGGCGGGCUCGCCCGCCGGGGGGACGCUACCAAGAACUCUUGCAGUCAUUGGCCUCUCUGAGUACGAUUUUUAAAUAAGUCAAAACUUUCAACAACGGAUCUCUUGGUUCUG